CUCCUCAUUUUGUACAUCUAUAAAUUCCCGAUUAUAAAAUUAGGUACUCUGAAAGAAGUCUUUAUCUCUUCUCACCGCUCUCUCAAAGGGAACAUUUUCAUUAAUUUCCGGUUUAUUCUUAACGGAUUUCUUUUGUUUCUUUCUCUUUUGUUUGUUUUCAGGCUCUCUCCCUCUUUCUUUACUUCAUUUCUUUUAAAUUACCAAAUAAAUACUCACAUAUUAACACCGACUCAUUGUGUGUGUGUGUGUGUGUGUGUGUGUCUCCUGGAAAACACUUAAGAGAAAAAUGUGAAAUUAUUUGCAAACACUUCCACAACCUUCCUUUGCGCUGGCCUUGUUCUACAGCACACUUACGCUGAUGACCUCAUCUCACCCUCUCCUUAAUCCUGUGCUGCUGGCAUCACUAUGAUGCCCGUUUCCAGAGAAGACAACUGAUGGUCACACAGCUGUGAAGUGCCCAGAUCUAAGCCGGGGCCCCUGCUGGCCCAGUUCGCACGCUCGUCUCCCAGCCCGGCUGCCUCUCACUGAAACAGGAAUAAAGGCUCCUGCAACUUCAGCACCGAGCAAAGAACGUUGGGGUCCCACUGGCUGUCAUUGGGCUAUGUGGCCAAGCCUACGGCAGAAGAAGUCAGGAAAGCGUUCAGCGGCUGUUCCCCAUCUCUCAUCCCUGCAGUGGGAGCAAAGCUCCUCCAGACAGCUGAUGGGAUGUAAGUGCCUCCACACAGAGCAGGCUUGCCUGAAAGAAAACAGCAAAGAGGAAAUCAGAUCCACGCAAUGGUGAGAUGGGAUAGCUGAGUACUAUCGGCCUUGUCUGAACGAGCGGAUCCACAUAGAAGCCAGCCCUGUGCCUGGACAUUCGGCUAUUGUGAUCAACUUAUGAGAAGCCCCAUCCAGAGAGGAGAGGUGGGUUAUUCACUCUCACCUGUUUCCUUCCUGCCUCACGAGAACUCUGGCAAUGGCUUGGUACAGCCAUAGCUCCCGUGGACAACGUGUGUCUUCCCAGGCACUUGGUUCACAGAUCCAUUUCCCACCCCAAGGCCUAAGUAUCAUUAAGACUAUCUACAAUCUCUAGUCCCAGGUUGCCAGGACAUCCCCUGUGGGUCCCUUCACCCUGCGCAUGUCUCUGUAAGCAGACCUGUUGUUAUUUUAUUUCACUGUACUCUUUGUGAUGGCAUCCUUUCCUCCGAGGGCUCAGGCUGAUAAAGGCCAGGGCCACUUUGAAGACCAGCACACUGGCUCUUGGUAAACCGUCCAUGGAUGAUCCUUCCAGCAUUAGAACUGUUGUCUUCCAUUAAGGGAUAAAUUAUAAAAAGUUAUGAAUCUUCAAAUGCUAGAAUCAUAGGCAGUACAAUGUGAUAAGCAAAUGACAAGCAAUAGGAUAUAUUGGAGUGUAUGAGGAAGCCAUUUGGUUUAAAACUGAUUCAGCCUGACCUUGUUUUUCCAAAAGGGCCUGACAUGGCCUGUUGAGCAUGCAUUGCACGUCUGCUUUAAACAUUUGCUAUGUCCCAAAGAUAAGAAUGAUGUCCUUAAAGUUAGGGAUGUAAUUCCCUCACAUAUUGGCAUUUUUUAAGGAUAAGCAUCUCUUCCUGGAAACUAAAGAUUAAUUACUGACCUGCUGAGCUCACCUUGUGACCCCUGACCUGCUGGCCACCGACCAGCUGUACCAGCUAAGCAUCUCAUGACAAUAAUAAAAGAGACAUUCCUGUCCUAUGUGACGUAUGC
rnacentral:lncRNA from 1 species